AUUGAACGCUGGCGGCAGGCCUAACACAUGCAAGUCGAACGAGCGGCGGACGGGUGAGUAAUGUCUGGGAAACUGCCCGAUGGAGGGGGAUAACUACUGGAAACGGUAGCUAAUACCGCAUACCAUCGGAUGUGCCCAGAUGGGAUUAGCUAGUAGGUGGGGUAAUGUCUCACCUAGGCGACGAUCCCUAGCUGGUCUGAGAGGAUGACCAGACAGACUGGAACUGAGACACGGUCCAGAAGCCGACGGGAGGCAGCAGUGGGGAAGAUUGCAGAAUGGGCGCAAGCCUGAUGCAGCCAUGCCGCGUGUAUGAAGAAGGCCUUCGGGUUGUAAAGGACUUUAAGCGAGGAGGCGUUACUCGCAGAAGAGGCACCGGCUAAAGCCGUGCCAGCAGCCGCGGUAAUAC
rnacentral:rRNA from 1 species